UUUGGUUCAGACUGUUUGCUAUUGUUUAAAAUUUUGAAUUCUGUGUUUGAGUUUAAUUACAGAAAAAAAAUAUUUGCUGCCUGAAAUCUUCUCUGCUUUCAGGUCCUACGUCCACCAGCCAAUUAUAAGAUGAAAGACAAGCAACAAAUAAAAGGAGAAAGUACAAAGAACCAUGCAGAGAAACUCAUUUAUUAACUGUAAACAGCCAGAACAAACGAUGGAACAUCACUUCUGAACUGAAAGUGAAGGUCACACAGAUGAUUUUUAUAAGCUAUUAAGAUUUUAUGGCUGAUAGAAGUCUUCCUGGGAGAUUACAGAGGAUUCCAGCGGGACCUUUCGGAGCCGGCUGAUUGCUAUCUCGACCUCGGAGCGCUCAGAGCUCCCAUUACGUCUGUGCCGGGAUCAAAUAAAGUUUACACUUCAUUUUUAA